GGAUGGGCAUGCGGCGCAUUAGCUAGUCGGCGGGGUAACGGCCCACCGAGGCGACGAUGCGUAGGGGUUCUGAGAGGAAGGUCCCCCACACUGGUACUGAGACACGGACCAGACUCCUACGGGAGGCAGCAGUGAGGAAUAUUGGUCAAUGGGCGGGAGCCUGAACCAGCCAAGUCGCGUGAGGGAAGACGGUCCUACGGAUUGUAAACCUCUUUUGCCGGGGAGCAACGGGGUCCUUGCGAGGGCCCAAUGAGAGUACCCGGAGAAAAAGCAUCGGCUAACUCCGUGCCAGCAGCCGCGGUAAUACGGAGGAUGCGAGCGUUAUCCGGAUUUAUUGGGUUUAAAGGGUGCGUAGGCGGGCUGUUAAGUCAGCGGUCAAAUGUCGGGGCUCAACCCCGGCCUGCCGUUGAAACUGGCGGCCUCGAGUGGGCGAGAAGUAUGCGGAAUGCGUGGUGUAGCGGUGAAAUGCAUAGAUAUCACGCAGAACUCCGAUUGCGAAGGCAGCAUACCGGCGCCCGACUGACGCUGAGGCACGAAAGCGUGGGUAUCGAACAGGAUUAGAUACCCUGGUAGUCCACGCAGUAAACGAUGAAUGCUAGCUGUCCGGG
rnacentral:rRNA from 1 species